AGUGAACGCUGGCGGUAGGCCUAACACAUGCAAGUCGAACGGCAGCACAGUAAGAGCUUGCUCUUACGGGUGGCGAGUGGCGGACGGGUGAUGAGUACAUCGGAAUCUACUUUUUCGUGGGGGAUAACGUAGGGAAACUUACGCCAAUACCGCAUACGACCUACGGGUGAAAGCAUGGGAUCUUCGGACCUUGCGCGAUUGAAUGAGCCGAUGUCGGAUUAGCUAGUUGGCGGGGUAAAGGCCCACCAAGGCGACGAUCCGUAGCUGGUCUGAGAGGAUGAUCAGCCACACUGGAACUGAGACACGGUCCAGACUCCUACGGGAGGCAGCAGUGGGGAAUAUUGGACAAUGGGCGCAAGCCUGAUCCAGCCAUACUGCGUGGGUGAAGAAGGCCUUCGGGUUGUAAAGCCCUUUUGGUGGGAAAGAAAAGCAGCAGGUUAAUACCCCGCUGUUCUGACGGUACCCAAAGAAUAAGCACCGGCUAACUUCGUG
rnacentral:rRNA from 1 species